rnacentral:rRNA from 1 species
GACGGAAGGUGCAAGCGUUGCUCGGAAUCACUGGGCGUAAAGGGUGCGUAGGCGGCCGUGCAAGUCUGGCGUGAAAGCCCCGGGCUCAGCCCGGGAAGUGCGCUCGAAACUGCGCGGCUCGAGUGCCGGAGGGGAGAGUGGAAUUCCUGGUGUAGCGGUGAAAUGCGUAGAUAUCAGGAGGAACACCCGUGGCGAAGGCGGUUCUCUGGGACGGUACUGACGCUGAGACGCGAAAGCGUGGGGAGCGAACAGG